UACGUAGGGUCCGAGCGUUGUCCGGAAUUACUGGGCGUAAAGAGCUCGUAGGUGGUUUGUCGCGUUGUUCGUGAAAACCGGGGGCUUAACCCUCGGCGUGCGGGCGAUACGGGCAGACUUGAGUACUGCAGGGGAGACUGGAAUUCCUGGUGUAGCGGUGGAAUGCGCAGAUAUCAGGAGGAACACCGGUGGCGAAGGCGGGUCUCUGGGCAGUAACUGACGCUGAGGAGCGAAAGCGUGGGGAGCGAACAGG
rnacentral:rRNA from 1 species